rnacentral:rRNA from 1 species
GAUGAACGCUGGCGGCGUGCCUAAUACAUGCAAGUCGAGCGAACGGACGAGAAGCUUGCUUCUCUGAUGUUAGCGGCGGACGGGUGAGUAACACGUGGAUAACCUACCUAUAAGACUGGGAUAACUUCGGGAAACCGGAGCUAAUACCGGAUAAUAUUUUGAACCGCAUGGUUCAAAAGUGAAAGACGGUCUUUCUGUCACUUAUAGAUGUAUCCGCGCUGCAUUAGCUAGUUGGUAAGGUAACGGCUUACCAAGGCAACGAUGCAUAGCCGACCUGAGAGGGGGAUAGGCGACACGGGAACUGAGACACGGUCCAGACGCCUACGGGAGGCAGCAGUAGGGAAUCUUACGCAAUGGGCGAAAGCCUGACGGAGCAACGCCGCGUGAGUGAUGAAGGUCUUCGGAUCGUAAAACUCUGUUAUUAGGGAAGAACAUAUGUGUAAGUAACUGUGCACAUCUUGACGGUACCUAAUCAGAAAGCCACGGCUAACUACGUG